rnacentral:rRNA from 1 species
AUACGGAGGAUCCGAGCGUUAUCCGGAUUUAUUGGGUUUAAAGGGUGCGCAGGCGGGAGAUUAAGUCGGCGGUGAAAUUUUGCAGCUUAACUGUAAAAGUGCCAUCGAUACUGGUUUCCUUGAGUGUAGAUGAAGUAGGCGGAAUUUGUGGUGUAGCGGUGAAAUGCAUAGAUAUCACGAGGAACUCCGAUUGCGCAGGCAGCUUACUAAACUACUACUGACGCUCAGGCACGAAGGCGUGGGGAUCAAACAGGAUUAGAUACCCUGGUAGUCCACGCAGUAAACGAUGAUUACUCGCUGUUUGCGAUAUACAGUAAGCGGCUUAGCGAAAGCGUUAAGUAAUCCACCUGGGGAGUACGUUCGCAAGAAUGAA